UUCGCAAUGCCCGAAAGGGUGACGAUGCGACGCCGCGUGAGCGAAGAAGGCCCUAGGGUUGUAAAGCUCUGUCGAGGGUUAUGAAAUAUAGAUGGGUUAAUACCCCAUUUAUUUGACAAAAGCCCAAAAGGAAGCCACGGCUAACUCUGUGCCAGCAGCCGCGGUAAUACAGAGGUGGCGAGCGUUGUUCGGUAUUAUUGGGCGUAAAGAGCACGUAGGUGGUUUUGUAAGUCAGGUGUGAAAGCCUUCUGUUCAAAGGAAGAACGGCAUCUGAAACUGCAUAUCUUGAGUGUAGGAGGGGAGAGUGGAACUUCUGGUGGAGCGGUGAAAUGCGUAGAUAUCAGAAGGAACGUCGGCGGCGAAAGCGACUCUCUGGCCUAUUACUGACACUGAGGUGCGAAAGUUAGGGGAGCAAACGGGAUUAGAUACCCCGGUAGUCCUAACCGUAAACGAUGGGCACUAAGUAGAGGGGUUUU
rnacentral:rRNA from 1 species